rnacentral:rRNA from 1 species
UGGGGAAUAUUGGACAAUGGGCGAAAGCCUGAUCCAGCCAUGCCGCGUGUGUGAAGAAGGCCUUUUGGUUGUAAAGCACUUUAAGUGGGGAGGAAAAGCUUAUGGUUAAUACCCAUAAGCCCUGACGUUACCCACAGAAUAAGCACCGGCUAACUCUGUGCCAGCAGCCGCGGUAAUACAGAGGGUGCAAGCGUUAAUCGGAAUUACUGGGCGUAAAGCGCGCGUAGGUGGUUAUUUAAGUCAGAUGUGAAAGCCCCGGGCUUAACCUGGGAACUGCAUCUGAUACUGGAUAACUAGAGUAGGUGAGAGGGGAGUAGAAUUCCAGGUGUAGCGGUGAAAUGCGUAGAGAUCUGGAGGAAUACCGAUGGCGAAGGCAGCUCCCUGGCAUCAUACUGACACUGAGGUGCGAAAGCGUGGGUAGCAAACAGGAUUAGAUACCCUGGUAGUCCACGCCGUAACGAUGUCUACCAGUCGUUGGGUCUUUUAAAGACUUAGUGACGCAGUUAACGCAAUAAGUAGACCGCCUGGGGAGUACGGCCGCAAGGUUA